AUUGAACGCUGGCGGCAUGCCUUACACAUGCAAGUCGAACGGUAACAGGUCUUCGGGUGCUGACGAGUGGCGAACGGGUGAGUAAUACAUCGGAACGUGCCUAGUAGUGGGGGAUAACUACUCGAAAGAGUGGCUAAUACCGCACGCGAUCGACGGAUGAAAGCAGGGGAUCGCAAGAACAUGUGCUACUAGAGCGGCCGAUGGCAGAUUAGGUAGUUGGUGGGAUAAAAGCUUACCAAGCCGACGAUCUGUAGCUGGUCUGAGAGGACGAUCAGCCACACUGGGACUGAGACACGGCCCAGACUCCUGCGGGAGGAAGCAGUGGGGAAUUUUGGACAAUGGGCGAAAGCCUGAUCCAGCAAUGCCGCGUGCAGGAUGAAGGCCUUCGGGUUGUAAACUGCUUUUGUACGGAACGAAAAGCCCUGGGUUAAUACCCUCGGGUCAUGACGGUACCGUAAGAAAAAGCACCGGCUAACUACGUGCCAGCCGCCGCCGUAA
rnacentral:rRNA from 1 species